GAUGAACGCUGGCGGCGUGCCUAAUACAUGCAAGUCGAGCGAACAGAUGAGGAGCUUGCUCCUCUGACGUUAGCGGCGGACGGGUGAGUAACACGUGGAUAACCUACCUAUAAGACUGGGAUAACUUCGGGAAACCGGAGCUAAUACCGGAUAAUAUAUUGAACCGCAUGGUUCAAUAGUGAAAGACGGUUUUGCUGUCACUUAUAGAUGGAUCCGCGCCGCAUUAGCUAGUUGGUAAGGUAACGGCUUACCAAGGCAACGAUGCGUAGCCGACCUGAGAGGGUGACCGGCCACACUGGAACUGAGAAACGGUCCAGACUCCUACGGGAGGCAGCAGUAGGGAAUCUUCCGCAAUGGGCGAAAGCCGGACGGAGCAACGCGGCGUGAGGAAUGAAGGUCUUCGGAUCGUAAACCUCUGUUAUUAGGGAAGAACAAAUGUGUAAGUAAUUAUGCACGUCUGGACGGUACUAAACCAGAAAGCAACGGCUAACUACGU
rnacentral:rRNA from 1 species